rnacentral:rRNA from 1 species
CAGUCGCCGCGGUAAUACGGAGGGUGCAAGCGUUAAUCGGAAUUACUGGGCGUAAAGCGCACGCAGGCGGUCUGACAAGUUAGAUGUGAAAUCCCCGGGCUUAACCUGGGAACUGCAUUUGAAACUGUCAGGCUGGAGUCUUGUAGAGGGGGGUGGAAUUCCAGGUGUAGCGGUGAAAUGCGUAGAGAUCUGGAGGAAUACCGGUGGCGAAGGCGGCCCCCUGGACAAAGACUGACGCUCAGGUGCGAAAGCGUGGGGAGCAAACAGGAUUAGAUACCCGGGUAGUCCCUGUCUCUUAUAC